AAAAGGAAGCAGAAGUCUUCAAACUUUAAGUCACCAGAAUAGUCCUAUUUGGAAAUGAGAAGAAUGGAGAAGUCAUCCAGAAGAAAGUCUAGAAAGGAAGCCAGGAGGAUAAUCAGUUCUAAAGCUAUCUACACUAAUGAAAGAGAAACAUGCAAAUUGACCAUCACUUCGUGACGCCCACCAGCCAAUCAGGAACCCCGAGAAGACACAGUGAGAAGGCUACCAUCUGCAAGCCAGGAAGAAAGCUCUCCUGGGAACCCAAGCAUGCUGGCGCCCUGAUCUCAGACUUCCAGCCUAAAUAUCUGUUGUUGAAGCUACCAGUCUCUGGUAUUUUGUUAUGGCAGCCCCUGUGCCUGAUGUAGUUGAUGCUACAUAAAUACCUGGUGAACGAAUUAAAUGAAGUUCCU